rnacentral:rRNA from 1 species
AGAGUUUGAUCAUGGCUCAGAACGAACGCUGGCGGCGCGUCUUAAGCAUGCAAGUCGAACGGCAAGAGAGGAGCUUGCUUCUCUCCUAGAGUGGCGGACUGGUAAGGAACGCGUGGGUAAUCUACCCUUAAGAUGGGGAUAGCCGCUAGAAAUAGCGGGUAAUACCGAAUAGACUUAUAGCUGAGAAAGAAGUGAUAAGGAAAGGAAGCUAAGGCUUCGCUUAAGGAUGAGCCUGCGUCCCAUUAGCUAGUUGGUAAGGUAACGGCCUACCAAGGCGACGAUGGGUAUCCGGCCUGAGAGGGUGAACGGACACAUUGGGACUGAGAUACGGCCCAAACUCCUACGGGAGGCAGCAGCUAAGAAUAUUCCGCAAUGGACGGAAGUCUGACGGAGCGACGCCGCGUGGAUGAAGAAGGCUGAAAAGUUGUAAAAUUCUUUUGCUGAUGAAGAAUAAAGAUAAGAGGGAAUGCUUAUCAGAUGACGGUAGUCGGCGAAUAAGCCCCGGCUAAUUACGUGCCAGCAGCCGCGGUAACACGUAAGGGGCGAGCGUUGUUCGGAAUUAUUGGGCGUAAAGGGCAUGCAGGCGGUUGUGUAAGCCUGAUGUGAAAUCCUGAGGCUUAACCUUGGGGCUGCAUUGGGUACUGCACGACUUGAAUUACGGAAGGGGAACUGGAAUUCCAAGUGUAGGGGUGGAAUCUGUAGAUAUUUGGAAGAACACCGGUGGCGAAGGCGGGUUUCUGGCCGAUAAUUGACGCUGAGAUGCGAAAGUGUGGGGAUCGAACAGGAUUAGAUACCCUGGUAGUCCACACUGUAAACGAUGUACACUAGGUGUUGGGGUAACAAUCUCAGUGCCGAAGCAAACGUGAUAAGUGUACCGCCUGGGGAGUAUGCCCGCAAGGGUGAAACUCAAAGGAAUUGACGGGGGCCCGCACAAGCGGUGGAGCAUGUGGUUUAAUUCGAUGGUACGCGAGGAAUCUUACCUGGGUUUGACAUCUAGUGGGAUACUUUAGAGAUAAGGUAGUGUAGCAAUACACCGCUAGACAGGUGCUGCAUGGCUGUCGUCAGCUCGUGCCGUGAGGUGUUGGGUUAAGUCCCGCAACGAGCGCAACCCCUACUGCCAGUUACUAACAGGUAAAGCUUGAGGACUCUGGCGGAACUGCCGAUGACAAAUCGGAGGAAGGUGGGG